UACGGAGGGUGCAAGCGUUAUCCGGAUUCACUGGGUUUAAAGGGUGCGUAGGCGGUUAAUUAAGUCAGUGGUGAAAUCCUGGAGCUCAACUUCAGAACUGCCAUUGAUACUGGUUGACUUGAGUACAGACGAGGUUGGCGGAAUUGAUGGUGUAGCGGUGAAAUGCAUAGAUACCAUCAAGAACACCGAUUGCGAAGGCAGCUAACUAGGCUGUAACUGACGCUGAGGCACGAAAGUGUGGGGAUCAAACAGG
rnacentral:rRNA from 1 species